GGACUUCACACGGAAGAGAAGGCUGGGAGAAGUUGUGGCAAAAUGCAGUGCCAUCUGGGAGAAAAGAAGUACUGUAGUGAGUUAAGCUGGAGUCUCGGGUCAAGAAGAGCUACAAGAACUUAAUUUAGUCAUGCAAAAAAUUGUUUUUCUUUAGACUUCCACCAGGAUUUGCAUUGUUUCUACAAGAGAUGAAGGAUAAAGUAUAUAAAACAUAAGGAACAUAGAAACAGAAGCAUGAAAGAAGAUGAAUAUCUGAAAUAAGGCACUAAUUUUCCAUGUGGCCUGUGAUUGUUUCUCCAAAAUGCAGGGCAAAAAGAGCUUCCAGAAAAAUUGAGGAGCUAUGUUUCAAAUUCAGAUCAUAAUGAUUAGCUUGCAUAGGGGGUUUGGGGAUUACAGGCCCAGUUUAAACAACCACAAUGUCUCUUGUCUUGUAAGGUUUCCCCAUCAGCUGUUAAUGUAUUGGUCUGAGUUUACCUCCACAGUUUAACAUAGAAUUUUUUGUAUUUCACAGCACACUGAUGAAAAAUAUGUAAAGACAGAAUGCAGUGUAACUGUAAAUGCUCACUUUUCUUAAAGAGUGUGUGUUAAAGUAAUGGCAACAGCUAUGAUGUAAAGAGCAGAACAGUGGAGAAAAAAAACGCAGUCCUAUGGCCAGCUAUGUACUUCUAUUGCAUGAAUGGAAUUUCAUGAGCACAUUCUUCUUAUCUGAAGCAAUGCAGAAAACUGGGAACCAGGCUGAAGUAAAUUGUGUGAACAGCACCAGAGAAAUCACUGAAAGUAAGCCUUGCCUUAGAGGUUCGGGAUUAGGUUGAUAAGAGCAAAGCAAUAUGUUUUAUAAUCCAUUGAGCCUAUUAAAAAAAAAUAAACUAUUUUUGAG
rnacentral:lncRNA from 7 species